UACGUAGGGACCAAGCGUUGUUCGGAUUUACUGGGCGUAAAGGGCGCGUAGGCGGCGUGUUAAGUCAGCUGUGAAAUCUCCAAGCUUAACUGGAACGGUCAGCUGAUACUGAUGUGCUAGAGUGCAGAAGGGGCAACUGGAAUUCUUGGUGUAGCGGUGAAAUGCGUAGAUAUCAAGAGGAACACCUGAGGUGAAGACGGGUUGCUGGGCUGACACUGACGCUGAGGCGCGAAAGCCAGGGGAGCAAACGGG
rnacentral:rRNA from 1 species